rnacentral:lncRNA from 1 species
UGAAGCAACAAGUUUAAAACUACAAACCCAUUUAUAGUUGGUUAUCUCAAUCAAAGAACCAUUUUUCUACAAACCCAUUUAGAAGGUCAUUCAUACAAUUAUAUACUUAUUUUGAUACACAAUACAACACCAAAUUUGGCCCCUCAUAAAGUUUAUUCAUAAUUCUCAUUAAAAAUAGAACAAUCACUUAGACACAUUAUAACACUAAUCAGCCAACGUACUGCCAAUAUUAAACUUAAAUAAAACAUAAAUUUAAAUACCAUAAAAAGACAAGGAAACAAAGAAGCUUCAUGCUUAAGUGUCUAAAGACUUAAAGUAUCUAAAUGUUCAAAUUCAAAUGAAAUAGAGGGAAAAAAAAUGAAGACAAAUAUCAAAAUAGAAAUAAACAAAUCAGAUGCGUUUUGAGGGUAAAAUCAAGUUCAAUUCGGUGGAAAAAUUACAUAAACAGAGAUGAGAAAGGGUAUAUGAAAG